UGUUUCAGCUUCCCAGAGUGCUGGGAUUGCAGGUUGGACAAUUAAUUGGAAUUUUAACAAAAAACAAGGUAGGAAGCAGUUAGUCAGAACUUUGACAUUAU